AUGGUUGAUCAGACUCAAGAUAACCAGAACGUCCGUGUCAUCAACAUUAAAAAUAACAUCAUCGACAAUAAUGUCGGCCUCGACAACGCUGGUACCGUCGGCCAUAACACGGUCCCUGGCGUCAACAUGCCCGAACCUUCUAACUGUAGGGAAGGAGCCACGACUUCUUCUUCAUCAAUCCCUCCUUGA